UUAAGUGACGAUAGCCUAGGAGAUACACCUGUUCCCAUGCCGAACACAGCAGUUAAGCCCUAGAACGCCGGAAGUAGUUGGGGGUU
rnacentral:rRNA from 1 species